rnacentral:tRNA from 5 species
CGGGAUAUAGCACAGCCAGGUAGUGUACUUGUCUGGGGGGCAAGGGGUCGUGGGUUCAAAUCCCGCUAUCCCGA